AUCAGCACCCAGACCGGCAGGCUGAGCAGGCUCUGUGUGGGUGAGACAGCAGAACCGGUGGGGUAGUCAGCAGAAAGAUCUGGACACCCCAGCCUAGAUGUCCCGUCCCCGAGCCCUGACAUCAGCCCUCCUCUCUUUACUAAUGCAUGAUGCCUGAUAACAGAAAUGCGUUGUUUAAAAGAAUAAGAAAACUCAGCAUGCUGAAGGUAACACUUCACAAGCUCUGCUCCUGGGUCCAAGGUCAGGAGAGGGACCAGGGGCUUGAGAAGAGUCCAUUUGGAAAAGACUUAAAGUUCUCCAGAAACAGCAGUAAUGGUGAUGACAACUAACAUGACCCGGCGGUGACUUUACCAGGUGGGUAUCACAUGCGCGCCCUUGCUCCAUCUCAUGACAUCCCUUGAGUUAGGAUCAGAGAGGUGAAGGGAUAUGCUCAAGGCCACAAAGCCUAGCAAGGGACAGAGCUGGGGCACCCAGAGCCAUCUGCCACUAAAGGCUACCCAAAGCUUAAGGUGAGACAACAGUUGGCGGGGGUGGGGGGCUCCCAAAAUAACCCAAAUUAACAACAGUUGGUGGCAUUAUAGCCUACAAAAUGCUUCCUGAUACUUUAUCUCAUAUCAUAGUUGAGGAAACUGAUGCUUGGAGAGGGAAAGUACCUGGCCCAGAGGAGCCGAGCUAAGUGACAGGGCCCGGACUUGAGCCCUAGUGUCCUUGUUUCAUCCAAGCUGGUUACACCCACCACGAUGCAAAGACUUUGAAGCUGUGAGGACGCGAGCACCCAGAGCCUGGCGGGGUCAUCUCACCAAACUCCAAGCGCACAGGUCUGGGGACACUGAGGGUUGGCUUUGGGUGCUGAGGCUCCAGAGGCACCCAGAGCCCUGCAGAGGAUCCCAUGGGGGCAGCAGGAUGAGGUGGGGUCGGGGAACUUUGUCCGAGAGGAACUGGGGAUGCAGAGCCCGGAAAAGGCUGUCAUAUGGGGACAGCCUGGGAGGUGUUUAAGGAGCCAGGGGCUCCUGGGAUCGAAUCCCAGCUCUGCCUGUCACCAGCUGGGUGGCUUUGGGCAAACCUGGCUCCAGAUGGUCAUUAAUAAAAUGGGGACAAUAAUAGCCUCUCCCUCGUGGGAUUGUGUGAGAAUUAAAUGAGUAAAUACAUGCAGAAUCCUUAGAACAACACCAGGCAUAUACCAGGUGCCCAUCAAAGUUAGAUGUCAUCAUUGUUACUGUGAUUUUCAUUACAACGAGGCACAGUGGGUAAGAGCUCAAACCCUGGAGUCACAGAGAUGUGAAUUCAAAUCUCAUCCCACCUACCUAACU
rnacentral:lncRNA from 10 species